UCCUAGCAUAACUGUCUUCUCCAGUGAGUGUUGCCUUCUCAUGACGUACCUAAAAUACAACAGUUUCAGUUUUGUCAUUUUUGCUUCCAGGGCAAGUUAUGCUUGGUUUGAUCUAGGACCUACAACUUCCUCUUUCUGUCAUUCCAUGGUGCUUCCAACACUCUCCUUCAGCACCAUAUUUUGAACACAUCAGUUUCUUUCAGCUUUAUUCACUCUUCAGCUUUCACAUGGUGAUUAAAAAUACAAUAGUGUGGAUGAACUUGCUUAGUAUUAAUGACAUUCCUCUUUUGCUCAUGACUACCUGAACAUUACUCCAUUAAUGUUCACUUUAUCUUAGAGGAAAGGUUGAUGGAUUGCAGAGUGAUCCUUUACAUUAUUACAUGGAAACAAGCUUUACUGUCUUCACUGUGCUUACUCUAUAAAGAUGUGCAUAGGAUUGCAACCAAUAUUUCACCAUUACAGAGAAAUGUGCACUUUCCAAGGGCAGUUACGUGUUGAGGGAAGUGUGACAUUAUGUGAUCUGAUAAUCAGAUCAGAGCUGAAAGGAUCCAUAACUUGGCCAUCUUAUCCAAACAAUCUCAAUCUCAAUUUACUUGUAGAUCCUACCAACUAAGUCGUCUGUUGUCUUGGUUAUUGGACAGGUGCUGCAUCGAAGAAGCUUUGGCUGGCAGAACUAGCACAGAUGCUAUGAGAAAAGCAAUGCAUACCUAGGAUAAAGGGCAGCAUCUCCCAUAUCUGGGGUUUUUGGUACAGCACCAGGCCUGACUUAUUCAGUGGAGAUGUGGGGAGUCUUGGUCUAUAGAGAAUUUGUUUUCCUGAUUAGGUACCCAGGCCAGGGGUCAGUCUACUUUGAAUGUCCUCACCUGGUAUUGAAAUUUUAAGAUAAGUCUUUUUUUUGGUGGGUGGGUAUACCAACUAUGCUGCCUAUCAGUCUCCCGGCAUUUGCUGGAAGAGGAGGCCUUGAGUGUGCUACCAAGAAGUCCAAGGCUAGCAAGGCUUUCUUGAAGGAAGCAGGCUAGGUAUUAUGGCUUUCAGGUCAAUGAUAGGCCUGUUUCAGUUAAUAUGUGAUCCAACACUUGUGGCAGGACAUUUGGUUUUCUGUACUGGACUAGGGGAUGCAGGUCUGUGCACUGGGGAAUAAGUAAGGUCCCCACUGGAUUGGACAAAUGAUAACUGAAUAGAUGGUGUGCCCCAGGGAGCUUUGAAUUCAGAUGGCUUUCUGAGUUCUCUUGGCAAUUUUCCUACAGAUUUGGUGAGAGGUUCUGCUGAUAUUUGAAAUGAGGGGAUGACCUGGGCUAUCCAAAUGAUGCUUUGAAAUAUCCCUAACCCAGUUACAGAGCACUCUGGGCUCCCUGGUGGGUUAGGGAACUGAGGGUAAAGGAAUGACUAGAGUGGAAAUGAUGAAAGACUUAUAACGAGUACAGUUAAGAAUUCAUCUUCAAACUUAUUCCAGGGUAAUGAUGCGAUCUUCUCUGCCACCAUUGCUUCUGCUCAAUGUUUUCCAGUAGGGCUCUUUUGGGUGGUGAAAUGUGCAGGUUCUGAGGAGCAAUAGCUUGAGCCCUCCAAAGUCCUCUGUGGUUAAGUUGCUAGCCAUUUUGCAAAUGGAGUAACUUAUAUCUGUGUCGACUUAGAUAUCAUUGUUUUAAUAGAAGCAGAGAUGGAUGUGUCCUGGCAUAUUAUUUUUGAUAUAUUUCAGAAUGCAGUCUAAGGAUGUGGACAAACUUCUUGGAAAAACGAGCACCACACAUUUCUCUUAGAUGCUUCUACAUCCUGACUUGUGAAAACAGUUAGGGCUUGAUGGGUAAGUAAUUAAUUUGUGCUCCAUGAGAGGAGUGGACCCUGCUUGCCAAAUGAAAGCCAGUGUGGAGAAGUGGUUAAGAGUGUGGGACUGAGAUUCAGGUGAUCUGGGUUCUAGUCCCCAUUAAGCCAUGAAGCCAACUGGGUGACUUUGGGCCAGUCACAGACUCUCAGCCCAACCUACUUCACAGGGUUGUUUUGGGGAUAAUAGUGAGAGCAGGAGGAGGAGAAUGGUGUAAGCUGCUUUGAGAUCUUAAAAAAGGAAAGGAAAGGAAAGGAUGGGGUAUGAAUCAAUCACUCAGUCAAAUAGACAAACCAAGAAAAGAAGUGUUGAGGCCACUACAAAGAAAAUAAGGUCUGAUGGUUUCUAAAAAUUACUCCCCAGAGUUAAAUUUGUCAUUUUUGUGCAAGAAGUUGCGGCAUGUAGUGGUUUCUCAACUUCAGGUAGAGUUGGAUGAUGCUGAUCAUUUGGCUCUAUUCCAAUCUGGGUUCAGGCUUUGUUUAGGGAUAGAAACAGCCUUGGUCACUGUAGAAAUUUAGUUAUGCUAAUUAAUGCAUUGGGUGUGCAGCUCUGUUAGUUCUCCUGGACCUCUUAAUUGCUUUAGAUCCCAUCAAUUGUAGUAUUCUUCACAAUUGUUUAUCUGGAUUGGAUGCGGGGGCAUGGUGUUAUGGUGCCUCUGAUCAUUCCUGGAUAAUUAGUCACAGAAAGUGGUGCUUGGGGACUUCCGCUUCACACCCUAUCUUAUCUCCUUUUUUUCAUCUACAUGAAAUUGCUGUGGGAAAUCAUUCAGAUGUUUGGGCUGUGCCAUUGGUAUGCCAGUGAGCCUUAGCUCUUGCUUCCAUCUCAUGGUCCUACAGAGGCUGCACAACUGCAGAGUCCAAACGCAGUGGAUACUGUGGUGUCAGCAGGGCUGUGAUUCUGUGAAAUCUGUGAAAAUUCCAGAUUUCAUGCCAGCCUUUUAGGGAGUUAUCCAUGGUGUCCCUGCACCCAAAAUAGGUCUGCUAACUUAGAUAACUCUGUAACAGUAAAAUUUGGAGUGAAUACACAGCCCCACUGAAAUUGAGGCCACCAGCCUCUGCUUCCAGUAUCUGGAGACAGUUGUGAGAUGGAAAAUAAGGAAAAUAAGAUGAGACUUAAUCCAAACAAAAAAGUACUGUGGGUAGAGAAUCUGACGAAGCUGGACAGAGGAGAACAUCUGGUGUUAGAUGUGGUUGUACUCUCCCUAGGGAACCACAUGUGGAGUUUGGGAGUGCUCCAGAAGCAACAGUGGCCAGGAUACUGGUAUGCCAGCUGCAACCAUAUCUGGAGAGGUUUGAUCUUGCCUGAAGUUAGUCAUGUUCUGGUGAUGUCCAGGCUGGACUACUGUUAUGUAUAUCUGCCUUUAAAGAUAGUUCAGAGACUUCAGCUGGUUUUUAAACUGCUGAUUUUAACCUUUCAAGCUGUUUGAGCCCAAGUUAAUUGAAGGACUGCCAUCAACUGUACCAGCCUGUCCACAUUGUGAGGUCCUCAGCUGAAGCACUAUUCAUUAGCCUGUCAUCAAGGGUGGUCAAGUUAAUGUGUACAAGAAGGAGGGGCCUUUGGGGAGUGGUCUCAAUCUUAUCAAGGGUUUUCCAAGCUCUUUCUGUAUAGCAGUGCUGAAAACCCUCUUGCUCUCACUAGUCUUUUCUUAAUUUUGGGGGCCAUUGGAAUUAUUUGCAAUACCCAUUUUAAUAGAUUAUACUGUUUGUAUUUUAUACUAAUUGUUAUAUCUUUAAUGAUAUAGGCAUCUUACAAAGGUUCCACCAUUAAAAUAAUUUUAAGAGGGCCAAAGGCUCAAGAAAUAUUUUUAAACACACUCAUGGAAGAGAAUACCUUUUUGAAACAUGCUCUUCUUACUUUUUACUUCAGUGCAUGGUGCUUGUUAAAAUAUGGAAGGACUAUGUAGCUGUUGCAUCAGCAAGUGGAGCCCUUCAUGUUAUGGGAAGUCCUUUUCCUCUUGUGCAAGGCAGUUUCUGUAUCCUGUCCCUUGAAGUGCAACUAGAGUGUGAGAAAGCUGGUAUAACAUGCACUGGACUCUUGGAUUAUACAGUAGUUUUCAUAUAAUUAUUUCCAAGAUUCAUAUCACUCAUUGUAAUGUAGUAAAACUUUCCAAGCACAGACUGAAGAUUUCAGUUGUACACAAAACAUAUAUUUUAAGAAGGUUACAAAUCAGCACAUUGUAUUUUGUGGCAAAAUCAUAAAAUAUGCUAACAUGAUAGAAUCUAAUGAGGGAAAUGUUCCAUGCAGAUGUCUGCUUGCUUAUUAUCCUAUAAAAUGAUUGUAUAUUUUUGUUUUUAUGAGCAAUUCCAGGCAUGAAGAUUUAACCAAAAACAUUCAUUUUGUCAAAAGUAUAAACACAAUAUGAGUGCACUAUACAAGGCACUCUUUAAAAAUCUGAUUUUUAAUGCUUGAAUAGUAGUUUUAACGUAAAUGGUGAUGAGUACUUCUUUUUAGUUGCUCUUGCAUCUGACAAGGCAAGUGAUAGUCUGUGAUCAGUACUGCAUCUCCUUACAUGAUGCAAAAGAACAAGAUUUUACUUGCCUUUGAUUUGUAUGUUUUUUCUGGCCACGUUGGCCAACCAUUUUAUUUUAUUGUGAUAUGCUGAGAGCCAACUCACAUAUUCUUAAGUAAAUACAAAGGGCAUAGGAAAUGAGGGAGGUAUAAUUUUUGUUGUUGCUCUUGUCAUUGAGAUUUUCAUGGUGUCUGUGCACAUUGGGCACCAUUUCAUUUUUAUUGCGCUGCACUGAUAGGAGUGUCACAUACCAUUAAGUUAAUACCAAGUAAGUGAAAAAGAAGUAAAAAAGCAAAAUCGAUUUUUCUCCCUUCUACUAGUUUGGUUGUUGGACAUUUGUGGGCUUUAUAUAUGCAACUGUUAUGGGGAGGAAAACUCAGCACUGCAAUAUAUGACAUAAAUAGUUUGUGUUGGUUUAUUUUGGUCCAUAAGGAAGCUCUCUUGCAAUACUUAAACAAGUACUUGGUAUCUUUGGGGUGGAAUAAUGGCAGAGCUUAUGAAGGAUUGGUAUAUUUGAGAUAUAUUAUUUAGGUCAAGCAAAAUUUUCCAAUCAGUUUGAAAUAGCUCAAUGGUUAUGUACGUCUGUCACAGAACCUAUUCUCAUUAUAUCUGCUGUGAAAUGUGGGGACAGUGAUAGGUUCCCUUUUUGCAGAGAAUGGUUAAUUCUCCUAAGGAUGCAUAGAUUCCCUAGGAACAUUUCCCCACCCAAGUGCAAUCUGGAUGCUAUUAAGGAUGUGUGCUGUGGUAGCUGAUGCUCAUUAAGGCUGGUAGGGUGGAGGGAAGGGAAGAUAAUGGUAGGAAGAGGCAAGGGGUCAGUGUAACCAGAUACAAGUAGAUCCAGUUUUCUCCACAUUCUCCUCCUUUGCAAAGGAGGACUCUUAAGCAAUGCUUUAUAAUCGUAUAGAUCUAACAAAACUGAACCAUAGUGUCUUACCUUUGUUCAGGAGGAUUGGGUGCUAUCACAUGUUGAGAGAAAAGGCCUGAGGCUUCCAUCACCCUUUAUCAUCACCUCAGUCAGGAAUACGAUCCCUUCAACAAAAGGUGUUCAGCAAGCUGCACCCUAGAAAAAGGAAAAGAUGUGUCCGGAUGUGCAACACCACAGAUGGAUGAACAUUUUGAUGAGCCUUUCUCCUCAUGGGGAGUCGUUCCGAUGCCGAGAAACACACUCAUGUGAUUUGCCUACCAUGCUUUAGUAUUUGAAAAGCAUUAAACAAAUGUUUUUAAUAUCUUAAAGAGUGUGCACAUAUACAUGUCAUUUCUAGAGCAGGGCUGGAAGACCUUUUUCCUAUCAAGGCCCAUAUUAACUUGGUUGAAACCUGUUCAGCUUCUGGCAGUGAACAGAGUCCAGAGUCAAAAGUGGAUAUAGAUACAGAUUUGACCUUUUAUCAUUAUUCAGUACAAGACCCAUACACUUUUUGUCUUCCCGGAAAUCUUUGUAAUUGUAUGAGCAAGAUGGAAAAAACCAAGAUAGAAUAAAUCAAAUCAAUAUUGAGGCCAGAGAGGGGGUGUGACCUGAGAAAAUGGUCACAGCCUGGAGAGGGAUUCUUGUUUUGAGGAGAGUCUAGAAGUCCAGACUGAAAUAGAUGAAGAUCCACAUUUGGCCAUUCUAGAGUGAUAAAUGGCCAUGGAAAGAAAUCAUAAGGCUGAUGUUGUGCGGCCUGUUAUUUGCUUCUUAAGUAUAUCUUUUUCUGUCCUACCAAAGAGUCCUUGAGAUAUAUUUACUAUGGUACUCAAUGACCUAGUGAAUUGGCUUCAUUACUGAAAAUAGGUAAUGCAAUGCAUACACAUGAAUCUCUAUACAUGUAUUUGAAUAUUUGGCUCUGGUCCAGGGGCCUGGGUUUAUUUGGUGUCUGGGUGUAAAUUUGGGGUAUAAGUCCAAGUAUUUUUGGUUAAUGCAAUUAUGAAUUGGAGUGAGGAAACCAAGGGAAGUAACCAGUUGUGUCGUUAGCAUACUUGGCACUGCAAGUGGAAACCAGUUUCCAAACUAUAUGCAGGAGGAAAAUCCAACAAAAGUUGCAUUUGUGCAACUGGUUGUGCGUGCUUAUGUACAAGCAUGUUACACAAGUACAGAAAAAAGUGGCUCUCUGCUAGUGCUAUAUGAGAAAUGACACCAUUGGAUACAGCCUGAAAUAUUAUAGAAAAGCAUACAUUUAAAGAGUGGAGAAACUGACACCAGUCUGGCAUGUGUAUGAGUCAAUGGUCAUCUGCAAACUGAUUUUUGUACUCUUCCAGAUAAAUGCUUAUAAAUGAGUAAUAUUUCAUUAUUGCAUUUUUAUUUCAAAUUCAAUUUGUAUUAUAUAUAUUCAUGUAUGAUAAAUCAAUGAGAAGAUCAAAACAGUAAUAUAUACAUUUUAGUUUCAACACAUUUGCCAUUUUAAAAGAAGAGAUUUAAAGCCACCCAACAUGCUUUGGGAGAUUAGACCCAACAGCAGGAGAUGAAGGCAAUGUGCCAUCCUGGCUUUUUGACCUUCCUUUGGGUUUCCUCUUCUAUGUCUUUAAGUCAGACUGAUAUUACUUGUCCAGAGAGUUAUCGUGUUUCAUACAGCUUUCAUUAAUAAUUUCAUUAAUUCCUUGUGAAAUGCAGAGAAAAAUCAGGCAAUUGAAUAUGAUGAACUAAAGAAAUUAUUUUUUGCUUGCUUUCUUCAGAACAGAAAAGGCAAUUCAUAUUGGAUUCCUUUUAUCUUAGGUCGAUAGCUUUUAAUCAUAAAUUAAUUAAUAUAGUUAUAUAAAUUAAUUCAUGUAGUUGUACCACCUUCCCCCUCCUCUGAAUUUGCUAAUAAGAAAUAAGGCUUUGAAUACUACUUACUCUUUUGGUGUUUAAAAAGUUAUUUUAAUAAAAAAAGAUAGCACCUAUGACUUCCAUCAUUCUGUCACCCUGCUGCUAAAACUGAUGCUGCUGAACUUUUCGUUGACGCAAACUCUUUGGGGUUAACCAGAGCACUACUUUGGAGGAAAAUAACCAUGCCUCAUCACCAAGAUCAGCCAGACCAACUUGCGGUCCUCCAGAUAUUUUGAUCUAUAACUCCUAUUGCCUUAGCUAGCAUAGCUGCUGCUGAGGGAUCAUGUAACCGAAGGUCAAAACAUUUGAUGGGUCACACAUACUCUGCCCACCCCUGACCUAGAAGAAAUUUGCAAGCUGAUCUUUUUUUUUUUGGAUAAAUGUUCAUCUGACCAGUGGCACAGACAUAAGGGGGAAAAACUAUUCAUAGUAACUAAGUGGGUGGUAUUUGGAUGCAUCAGCAGUAUAGGGAGUGGAAUCUUUAGUGAUCCUUUCCUUCUAGCAGGCCCAUAGAGCCACUAAAUCUGUAAUAAGCUUCAGGAAGGCAGGGGAACUAGUGAAAUUGUGUCUCCUCAUUCUGCUGAUGGAUGCAUUCAAUUAGUGGCAGGACACCACUGAAUACCGCUUUCUAUUUUGCAAGAAGAGCAAGGGUACAUGUACUGUGGAAGAGAGAUUCAAGAGCUCUGAACAUAUUUUUUUAAAGGUGGGUUAGGGAGAUGUAGAGAUCUUCAAGGCCAGUGGUGGGUGAGCCUUUUUUUAGGUCUCAGAUAUCCCUGGAUGUUAACCCCUGUGUUUAUGCUCCUCCUGCGGCAGGAAAAUGGCAGUGGGUGAUAUUAAAGAAGAUACCACAAAUGAGUUAUUGUGGGAAGAGCGACUGCUUUUCAUUGGGAAGCUGUCAUGGUGCUGGCAGUUACGAAGAGUAUUUACUUUAGUCUCAUUGCAUAUUAUUGGAACGUCCUCAUGAAGCUGCAUUCUAAAGAGCUGUGUUUUUCUUUUCAAAGAAAUACCUUAUAGAAGUGACGAGACUUGACUUUAUGUAGAAUGUCCUUGCAAACCAGUUUAUAAUUGUAUUUAUUCUAAAUGUGCAUAUUUUGUUCUUUGCUGAUUUAAGGAUGCCCGAAAUGGCUUCUGCAGAGAGAUGUUUAUUACGAAACUGUUUGCAAAAGUCCUGAGCAGCAUUCAUUGAGCCUAGACAAACAGCAGAAAAUAUGGCCUGCCUUUGCAACUUCAGUGUAUGACAUGGAGAGCUGGCAGACUGCCUGGUUUCUACUUAAAGGAUUGUCAUUCAGGGGAAAAUAAAUUUCUCUAACUAGACAAAAGUCAAUGUUUUCAUGUUUUACUGCAAUCAGACUGAUAUGGCUGAUAAUUUAAAGUCUCAGCACUUAUAAUAUCUGAAGAUAAUCAGUUCCUUCAAUCAAUCAUAACUACAAGAUCCUUCUUUUUUGAGGCUGUAUAAAUAUGACUAAGAUGUUUAACAGUUCAGAUAUUUGUCCCCCACUAAUAUUUUAUGACAUUUUAUUGAGCAAUGGAAUGCUUUGGCAUAUAUUAAUGGAUCCAUUUGGAAAUGCCUUUUUACAAAAUUACAACAAGUCUGCAUGUAAUCAGAGCUGCAAACCUUUCUUUUAACAUUCCAUUCUAUUUUAAUUUUAUGUAUAUCUUCUAGUCUGUUCGCCUGUCAAGAAGAUGAGGAAAUGUGCUGGCAUUCCAGCUGAAGACAUCAUUAUGAGUGAGAAAAUGCUCAAGGCCUUUUUUCAAAGUGGGUGCUGAAAGAGACACUUUCCUUCUUUGACUUCAGGGAUGCUGAUAGCUACCCCAACAGACAGGCAUGUUGAAUGCUGACUUGACUUCCAUUUUUCUUAGAAGAAAGGCAAGAGCGCAGGAGACCUAAUCCAGACUGGGACAGAAAAUAAUCUCUCUCCAUAAGUCAUUAACCUAACUUUGGAAAGGCAGAAGAACCCAGAACAGGAACUCUGAAGAAGUUCUUAAUUCAUAGUGUGGUUUAUGCAGGGUAUGCUACUUCAACUUCUCUGACCCCCAGCUAUUCAGCUGAGCUGGGCAAACACCCUCUAGGUGUUUUGGUUUACAACUCUCAUCAGCAUAGCCAAUGGUGAUGAAUGAUGGGAGUUGUAGGUCAAAACAUUUGGAGAGCUACAAGUUGCUGAACAUUGAUUUAGGACUUUAAAGACCCAAUCCAUGAAUAAACCUUGGAAAUGAGUUGACAGCCAAUAUGGAUUCCCCCCCUCAACCCUUGUAUGAUGCAUAGCAGGCAGCCCCAGUUAAAAAUCUGUCCACCUGUUUUUUUCGCAGGAUGCUGUUUAAGCUCCUCAUUGUAUGCCUUGAAGUAUCUUCUUUAUUUUCUUUAAGAGAUGAGCAUUAGUUUCCUUCUUUGAGAGCACUUCUCUUUGAGCUGGAGGCAUUAGAAGUGAAUGUGGUAUAGGAAUGGAUGAUCCAACCAUUCUGCUUUCUUAUAACAUCUGCAUUGUUUUCCUAUUUCCAUAACAGUUUAUGAGUUCUUUUUUUAAAAUGAAGAUUUCUAUGCACUUCCCGGUAUUACUCACAUAGUUUUCAAGUAAUCUCUCACUUAAUAUAUGCCUUUUUGUGCAUUAUUUCCCCCGAGGUAUAUGUUUGUGUAUGCAGUUUCCCCUAAUAUUUGCAUGUUUGUAGAACAUUUUGACUGAAGAAUUUUAUCAUAACAUUCAGACAAUGAAGGAUCAUUGUGUUCUGGUAUCAGGUAUGAAUUAGAUUGAUUCAUAUUUAAAUCCAAACUAAUCAAAUUCAUACUAUAUUCCUACUUUGGAUGAGGUAGGAAUGGAGAAAAAGAAGAGUAUGUCUGUCCUUUCUUUCCCUUUGUAUCAGUGUUACAUCUGAAGUCUCUGCAAUAUUUUUAAAUUUUGCAUUCAUAUUACAUGUACACUAUGAAAAGUGCAUUAUGUGUAUUCUUUAAAAAUCUAUGUAUUUACAUGUAUAGUUAUUUUUGUGUUUGAUUUUACUACAUUUACAGAAUUGGAUUUUUUUUAAAACAGACUUAAUGGAAGUUCAGGUUGUCAGCUUAAUACAUAUUUUCAGUCAAUCAGC